UUUGGUUAUCUGCCUUGCUCGUUCUGUAAGUCCCUCUGAGAAAGACUCGAAUUCUCCCAAACUCCAACACCUCACGUGGUGUUUGGUGUUUAACAGAUGAUUAAAUGAAUGGGCAAAAAGUGGAGGGCAAAAUCUUUAAAAUUGUCUUUUAAGAUUUAAGGAUUUUAGGCGUGAGCCACCGCGCCCAGCCUGAAAAAUUUUAAGUGAUUGUUUGCCGACUUUACAACAGGACGAUGUUGUUGUUCACAGGCCAGUAGGUGGCGCUGUGGCACGUGAUCUGAGCCUCCUGGAUUCACACAACUGUUUAUGUGGAGAACCCAGUGCCGGGACCCAUUAGCACCCCAGUCAGGCUAUGCGUCUCCCUCCCAAGGGUGCUCACCUGGUGUGGCCUCCAUGGCACAGGGGGAGUGAGAUGAGGCUCCUUUAGUACACCCUCCCUUGAGAAGAACGACGUGUGCUUACCCUCCAGUGGCUUGUUCUCAUGAAAGGCUCCACAGUUAGGGACCUUCAGAUGCUUAGAUCUGGGGUGUCACCUGACUCAAGCCCCUCAGAAUCCCAGAUUGUUGUGGUGGGUCAAGGGCAUGGGGCUUUGGGUUUACUGGCCUGGGUCUGAAUGCCAGCAUUGCCUCUUCCUUGGUGUAUAUGACCUUGGGUGGUUACCUU
rnacentral:lncRNA from 1 species